AUUCCAAAUAUGUGUAUUUUCUUGAGGUGGCUUUCGAUGAGGUUAAGGAGGAGAGGAUAUAAUAUAGAGAGGAUUGUGAGGCCUAAAGACUAAUAAUCACCUAAUGAAUUUGAGAUUUUGAGUAGAAUUGCGAGAUGUUAAGCGAAUCUCAAAAUUACGAAUCCGAAGAUAAUGUGGAUAAAACAAAUUGCAAAGAUGUCGUUCUAUUCGUCUCAGUAUAUAUAUGUGCGUAGAUCAUUAAAAAUCUGUCCACUUCUCAGUUAAUGCAAUUGAUUUCGAUUAACCAACUAUUGCGCAAUCUGCCACUCAUAUUGAAAAUUUUUACUGAUCUGCAAACGUUUAACAGCUAUUUUCCACUAGAUUAAUAAAAAAUAGCCAAUCCUCACAAGUCGCACCUUUUUCGGGGAUCGGGGGAAAUGUCGCUGAAGGUGUGAAAAUGCAAAUUUUCUCGGAUGUCAACAGUUUAAUCAGUCGCUUCAAAGUUUGUAUAUUUCUUAAUUUUGGUGAAUUUCCUCCAUAUUUCUUCACUUUGUAUGGCGGCAAUGGAGCCGUAAUGCUAAGCAAAUCGUAAUUGAGUUUGUAAUAGCUAGCAUCAGUUUAAACUCGAAUGAAUUAAGUAACCGCUUAUAUAUUCAUAAAAACUUCUAAGUAAUUGAGCUAGGUGCGUUUAUAGGGAUGAUUAUUCGCUCAGAAAAUGAUUAAAACACUGCUCAACUUGUUCACCUAUAUAUAGUUGUCGUAAACAAAGCUAAAUCGAUGAUUUAUUACAAGAAGAAAGAAUACAUGAUUUUCGGUUAAUCACAUAACAUGAACAAUAUUGAAGAAGGAAAUAGCGAUUUAUUGAGCCGCUGUUUUUUUCAUGAAUACCGGUUAACAUAGAUUUUUAAGUAUAAAUAAAAGGAUAAUGACUAGCGGUUUCAUUGUUCAUCUUUGAUUGAAUAUUGUUAAUGUCACGUACGCGUGAAAUAUAUAAAGUCGCCGAGGAAUAUGCAUAUAGUCUGCAUAUACAUUAUUUUGAGAACAUAUAUUAA